GGGCCUAUAGCUCAGCGGUAGAGCGGCCGGCUCAUAACCGGUUGGUCCCUGGUUCGAUCCCAGGUGGGCCCACCA
rnacentral:tRNA from 16 species